rnacentral:rRNA from 1 species
AUGGCAGAAGUCAUGGAAGAAAACCCUGAAUUAGGGGAAACUUGGUUCAUAAGAUGCUAUGUCAAUGGUCUCACGGAUGGAAUUAAAUUUCAGUUGAGACCAUUAAGAACUCAAUCCUUGACUGAUGCAUACUGUUUAGCUAAAGAAAUAGAACCCAAUCAUCCACCUAUCAGUGCAAUUCCCAAGAAAACAACCAGUACAUUUGUCAAUUAUUAUCAGAAAAAUACUGGUGCCUUUCAGAACAAAACCAGCAGCAACACUGUGCCUGUGCAACAGAAUAGUCCAGCAAAACAAACAGAGAAUAACUCCAACACAUUCACAAAACUGAGGAAAGUUGGAGAAUGCUGGAGAUGUGGAAACAAAUGGACACAUGGUCAUAAGUGCAAGUUAAUUCCCAAUGUUCACUUGUUACAACCAGAGAGUGUAGAGCAAGAAGUUUUGGAAGAAGAAGUGUUGCAGCAGGAGCAGGAAGAAAUUCCAGAAGAAGGGGACCAGGCAAUGUUCAUUACUGCUCAUGCAUUGGGCCAGCAAAUAGCAAUACCUACACCAACUGUAGUUAUUCAAAUAAAAGGAAAAAGGGCAGUUGCUUUAUUGGAUUCAGGCAGCAGUGCUUCAUUUAUAAGUGAAGAAUUUGCUGUUAAAGCUAAUUGUCACUUAUUACCAGUGAAACCCAGACUUAUUGCAGUAGCUGGAGGUGGCAAAUUAACUUCCAAAGCUGUGGUGCCCAACUGUGAAUUCCAGCUGGCCAAACACACAUUGCAGUAUAACUUCAGAGUGUUACCUUUGCCUGGAUAUGAUGUAAUUCUGGGAUAUGAUUGGUUUACCCUCAUGAGACCAGUAACUUUCAACAUACCAGAUAACACUUUUAGUUUUUCACUGCAAGGAAAAACAACAGUUACUGCAGCAAUAUUUAACACACCAGAAAAAGUUCAGGAAGUCCCAGCGGAGAAGAUGAGCAAAUUACUGGAAAAAGGAGCUGAGGCAUUCUUACUGCAGGUGCAUAAUAUCAUUUUACAAGCUCCUGUGGGUUUUAAAACUCCCCCUCAAGUGCAGAAACUGUUAUUAAAAUAUGCAGAUCUCUUUGAAGAACCCAGAUCCUUGCCUCCACAUAGGGAGUGUGAUCACACAAUUCCUCUCAUGCCUGGUAUUGAACCGCCUCACUCCAGGCCAUACAGAGUGCCUAUGCAUCAGAAGAAAGAAAUGGAGGAACAGAUCAAGAAAUUAUUGGCAGCACACUUCAUCAGACAUAGUCAAAGCCCCUAUGCUGCUCCUGUGAUAUUAGUAAGGAAGAAAGACAACUCCAUGAGAUUGUGUACUGACUUUAGAAAACUGAAUGCAGUGACAGUUAAGAACAAGUUUCCAAUCCCUGUAAUUGAGGAUUUGCUGGAUGAAUUGAAUGGAGCCAAGUACUUUUCCAAAUUAGAUUUGAGAGCAGGCUACCACCAGAUAAGGAUGAAUCCAGAAGACAUACAUAAAACUGCAUUCAGAACAUUCAUGGGUCACUUUGAGUAUUUACUGAUGCCCUUUGGGCUGUCUAAUGCUCCUGCUACAUUCCAGGCCCUUAUGAACAAAAUUUUUGGGCCCCACCUUAGGAAGUUUGUUCUAGUGUUCUUUGAUGAUAUCCUCAUCUAUAGUAAAACACUAGAGGAACACAUGCAACAUAUUGAGAUUGUGUUAAAGCUUCUGAAGGAAAAUCAAUUAUGUGCCAAGCUCUCUAAGUGUGUUUUUGCAGUGCCACAGGUGGAGUACUUAGGUCAUAUAAUAUCUGCUGAGGGAGUGGCAACUGACCCACAAAAGAUCAAAGCUAUUGCUGAAUGGCCAAUACUUGAUAAUGUAACUAAACCGAGAAGUUUUCUGGGCCUGGCUGGUUACUACAGGAGAUUUAUCAAAGAUUAUGGAGUGAUCUGUCGACCUCUCCAUGAUUUGCUUAAGAAAUGA